rnacentral:lncRNA from 10 species
UAAUAGAGACGGGGUUUCACCAUGUUGGCCGGGCUGUUCUCAAAGUGACCUCAGGUGAUCCACUCGCCUCGGCCUCCCAAAGUGCUGGGAUUACAGGCUUGAGCCACCACACUCAGCCUUAUUCUUAUAUUUUAAUUUGGUCAUUCUUAGAUCUACAGAUUGAACAUCCCUAAUUGAAAACUUUUUGAGUACUAACAUAGUGUUCAAAGGAAAUGCUUAUUGGAGCAUUUAGAAUUUCAGAUUUUCAGAUUAGGGAUGCUGAACUGGUGUAAUGCCCAGUAUUCCAAAAUCCAAAAUAAUUUGAAAUCUGAAACACUUAAUGGUCCCAGCAUGUUGGAUAAGGGAUACUCAACCUGUAUUGAUUUUUCUCCACUAUAAUUCAGUUCUAUAAGUUCUUCCCUAUAAAAAAUGAAUGAAUUAGAAAUUUGAUAAUAAAACAUAUUUUAUUAAUUUUAAACUCUAUCUUGCAGUCUGAUCAUUCAGAAAGGUCAACCUAGAAAAAAGACAUGGCUAAGUAAACUAUUUUAAGCCAUAACUAAGUAUUUUGGAAAGCCUUCAUUAACACAUAAAGAAUUUUGGCCAAGUACUGUGGCUUAUGCCUGUAAUCCUAGCACUUUGGAAAGCCGAGGCCGACGGAUCACUUGAGCUCAGGAGUUUGAGACCAACCUGCGUAACAUGGUGAAACCCCAUAUCUACAAAAAGUACAAAAAUUAGCUGGGUGCGGUGGCGCAUGCCUGUAGUCCCAUCUACUCGGAAGACUGAGGCAGCAGAACCGCUUGAGCCUAGGAGGUGGAGGUUGCAGUAAGAUGAGAUCAUGCUGCUGUACUCUAGCCUGGGCAAUGAGAGUGAAACUCUUAUCUCAAAAAAAAAAAAAAAAAAAGAGCUAUACUCAUAGUACUUUGGGAGACCAAGCAGGGAGGAUUACUUGAGACCAGGAGUUUGAGACUACCAUGGACAACAUAGCAAGACCCCAUCUUUACAAAAAAUUUAAAAAUUAGCCAGACACCUAUAGUACCAGCUACUUAGGAGUCUAAAGUGGGAGAAUUGCUUGAGCCUGGGAGGUUGAAGCAGCAGUGAGCUUUGAUCAUGCCACUGCAUUCCAGCCUGGGUAACAAGAGUGAGACUGUCUCAAAAAACAAAACAAAACAAAAAAAUGGGUUUUUUUGUUGUUGUUUUUGUCUUUUACUUAGGACACCUGCUCUAGAGGCUAGAUAAAAAUAGAUUGUAAUGGCCGGGUGCAGUGGCUCACACUUGUAAUCCCAGCACUGUGGAGGCUGAGGUGGGCGGAUCACUUGAGGUCUCGAACUCCUGACCUCGUAAUCCACCCGCCUCGGCCUCCCAAAGUGCUGGGAUUACAGGUGUUUGCCACCGCGCCCAGCCCAAAUUAUUACAUUCGUAAGACAGACACCUCUUAGAAUCUAUAUAUAUGAGGUUUUACUCCCUUUUCUACACUCAGUAUGUUUUAAUUGAUGCAAAGCAAUUAAUUGGCCUAAAAUGUUUCAAAUAUUAUAGUCUAUACAUUCAGAAAGUAAGGUUUAAGAAUGAAUUAUUGGUGCUUCUUGGUGGGUGUAUAUAGCAGUUUUUAGAAGUUUAAAUUUCACCUCUACUCAGAAAGAUAAGCUUUUGAUUCAGUGGUUUCAAAUUUUCAGAUCAAUCCAUUUAAGAAUUGUUUUUUCAAAUGUAUAUACACGUAUAACAUAAAAAUUUUUGUAAUUUCAAAUGUCUUUUUUUCAGUUUUUUGGAUGAAUUAUUAUAUUUGGUUUUAGUUACAUUUAAAAGCUUGAAAAUUACCUUUCUAACAAUCAUUUGAAUGUCAUUCAUUGUCACAUGAAAUCAGGUAUUUACGUUUUUUUCUAAUGCUAAAAUAUCCAACAUUGUAAUUGCCCUAUUUUUCCAUUUUUAUAAGUAUAAAAGCAAUGAAUUUUAACACUGGUAUUUAAAUAAUACAAAAUAUUAUCCAAAUUCAUAACAGCACAGUGAAGUUUCUUUUGAAGACUAUGUACUGGAAGCAUUUAGAACUUACCAAUAUAUACUGGGAUAAAUCGUUUCAAUAAAGUUUAUCAAAUAUUCUGU